UGCGCUCUGAGCUCCAUUUCUGUCCUUCCACCACAUUCUAGGUCCAGAUUUAUCAAGAAAACCCGAUCCGGUCACAUUUAUAGUCUUCUUUUGUGGUGAUUUUCUUACUCUGUUCAUGCAGGAGAGGAAAUGCAAUCCCACCAGGAGCAGAUACUUCAGUUUUUGGUAAAAACCAAGGUUCUUCGUAGUUCCGGUCGCAUUCGCAAUAGUCAUUUUCACAGGGCAUGUCAAUGUCUCAGCUCUCACGGAAUUCUCAAGAGGAAAUUGUGACAAAUGAACAUGGUUGUGCUAGGAAUCCUAAUCAUGCAUUCAUGGGGCUUGUCAGCAAGGGUCUUGAGCUAUGGAUAUAUUAGGCUGUUUGCACAGAGGGGAGUGUCACCCAUAUGCUAGCAAUAGUCCACUAUGUCAGAAGAUCCAAAACCUUCAACUGGAGUAUGGCAAACAUAUUUUCCAGUUCAGGACUGAAAAUUAGGCAAUGUGUUUCUUGAACAGAGGAUCCGCCACGUGUGAAGCUCAGGUACAUAGCUUACUAUGAGCAGUCCUAAUAACAGGGUAGCAUAGUAAGCAUAGCAUCCAAUGUUUGUAUGUGAUCGUUCCUCAUUAAUUAGAGAGAAUUUUCUUAUGAUUAAAAGUAGGAAUCGGGUCCUGGGUUGGGCUAUUGCGUCACCAUCAUCAACAUAUGGCUGAUUUAAUGGCCAUGUAGCCACAUUUCCAACAUGGGAUAUUUAUUGGAAAGUUAAAAAGUGAAAAAUCCAAUGUUCCUGUUUUAACAAAAAAGAUGCCCACUAAUUCAUAUGUUAGGACUGUUCAAACAAUAUGAUGUUUGGAAUGUGUCUUAGAAGUGUAGCAGUGUUGCCUAUUUUCAUCCAUCGUUUUCGUAUGGGCCCACCAUCUUGUAUGCAAGC